rnacentral:rRNA from 1 species
CGGUACCUACGGGGGGCAGCAGUGGGGAAUAUUGCACAAUGGGGGAAACCCUGAUGCAGCAACGCCGCGUGAGGGAAGAAGUCAUUCGUGUUGUAAAGCUCUAUCAGCAGGGAAGAAAAUGACGGUACCUGAGUAAGAAGCCCCGGCUAACUACGUGCCAGCAGCCGCGGUAAUCCGUAGGGGGCGAGCGUUAUCAGGAUUUACUGGGUGUAAAGGGAGCGUAGACGGCCAGACAAGUCUGAAGUGAAAAUCCAGCGCUUAACGUUGGAAG